GACAGAGGUGGCGAGCGUUGCUCGGAUUUACUGGGCGUAAAGCGUGCGCAGGCGGCCCGUUAAGACAGGUGUGAAAUCCCUGGGCUCAACCUAGGAAUUGCGCUUGUGACUGGCGGGCUCGAGUACGGUAGAGGGGGGUGGAAUUCCUGGUGUAGCAGUGAAAUGCGUAGAGAUCAGGAGGAACACCGAUUGCGAAGGCAGCCCCCUGGGCCUGUACUGACGCUCAUGCACGAAAGCGUGGGGAGCAAACAGG
rnacentral:rRNA from 1 species